rnacentral:snRNA from 14 species
GAACCUCUUCCUCUCUCACUGCUCCAUGUGUGUCCCUUCCGAAGCUGCACGCUCGGUCGAAGAGGACGACCUUCCCCGAUGGAGGAGGACCGAUGGAGGAGGACCGUUCUUCAGUCAAGGGUAUACGAGUAGCUGUGCUCCCCUGAUAGAACCUCUGAACAAGCUCUCAAGAAACAGGGUCUAACAAGCCCCCCUCCCUUUGUAAAUAACCACCUUCCUGGGCUUGGU